GUAUGCAAUUAACCCAGUUAUCACAUCAUCACCUCGCAGAUAACCAAAUAAUUAAGUAAUCCGAUAAAUAAUCCUUCUUAAAAAUGCUGUAUUAUUUUCCUCGUUAAAAUCAAAUCUGACCAUAACUGGAAUUUAAAGUAACAAAGCAAGUAAUUAACGCAAUUAUCACCGCGCAGAUAAGCCUACCUUGGAAGCAAAUAAGCAACCCAGCAGAUGAACAAUCCUUCUUAAAAAAUGGUUACAAUCUGACCACAACUAACUGGAAACUAAUUACAAAAAAAAACUGUGGGUCAAAAGAUGAUGGCACCUUUCUCUGACCGGUACUACCACUACGAUUGGUCAUUUCACUAACAAUGAUGAAAUUAAGUUGUGGACUAGUUUUUAUUUUAGCCGGACUGAUACACAUUUGAUACACAUUUUUGCAAUGUCUUUUAUUGAGCCAAUUCACUAACACCAGAUGCAAAUAACGGCUCAACUGGACUGGGUUGCCAAUUUCGGCUGUGUCGUGUGGUGUGGUGCGUGGUGACCAAAAGAGCAGUGGCGGAUCGAUACCAUUCACAUGCUUGAUUAUUGACUGGUUCGCAGCCAUUCUAAUAAAAUUACAGUUCCGGUCACGCAAACUGAAAAAUAAAAACAUUGUGCUAAAUUUGGUACGAAAAAGAG